GGUAAAUCUCGUGCCAGCCACCGCGGUCAUACGAUUAACCCGAAUUAAUAAAUAUCCGGCGUAAAGCGUGAUUAGAACAAGCAACAAAAUAAAAUCAAAUAACAACUAAGCUGUAAAAAGUAAUAGUUGCAAACAAAAAUAAACAACGAAAGUGAUUUUAUACUCUUCGAACUCACGAUAGCUAAGACCCAAACUGGGAUUAGAUACCCCACUAUGCUUAGCCCUAAACUUCGAUAAUUUCAUAACAAAAUUAUUCGCCAGAGAACUACAAGCCAAAGCUUAAAACUCAAAGGACUUGGCGGUGCUUUAUACCCACCUAGAGGAGCCUGUUCCGUAAUCGAUAAACCCCGAUAAACCUUACCACUCUUUGCCAACUCAGCCUAUAUACCGCCAUCUUCAGCAAACCCUAAAAAGGAAUAAAAGUAAGCUCAACUACUACCGUAAAAACGUUAGGUCAAGGUGUAGCCCAUAGAGUGGAGAGCAAUGGGCUACAUUUUCUACUUCAGAACAUACGAAAGCCCUUAUGAAACUCUAAGAGCCAAAGGAGGAUUUAGUAGUAAAUUAAGAAUAGAGUGCUUAAUUGAACAAGGCCAUGAAGCACGCACACACCGCCCGUCACCCUCCUCAAGUGACAAAUAUUUACUUAUACCUAAUUACAUAAAUAAACAGGCAUAAGAGGAGAUAAGUCGUAACAAGGUAAGCAUACUGGA
rnacentral:rRNA from 1 species